AUUGAACGCUGGCGGCAGGCUUAACACAUGCAAGUCGAGCGGAGAUGAGGUGCUUGCACCUUAUCUUAGCGGCGGACGGGUGAGUAAUGCUUAGGAAUCUGCCUAUUAGUGGGGGACAACAUUCCGAAAGGGAUGCUAAUACCGCAUACGUCCUACGGGAGAAAGCAGGGGAUCUUCGGACCUUGCGCUAAUAGAUGAGCCUAAGUCGGAUUAGCUAGUUGGUGGGGUAAAGGCCUACCAAGGCGACGAUCUGUAGCGGGUCUGAGAGGAUGAUCCGCCACACUGGGACUGAGACACGGCCCAGACUCCUACGGGAGGCAGCAGUGGGGAAUAUUGGACAAUGGGGGGAACCCUGAUCCAGCCAUGCCGCGUGUGUGAAGAAGGCCUUAUGGUUGUAAAGCACUUUAAGCGAGGAGGAGGCUACUGAGACUAAUACUCUUGGAUAGUGGACGUUACUCGCAGAAUAAGCACCGGCUAACUCUGUGCCAGCCGCCGCGGUAAUAC
rnacentral:rRNA from 1 species